GUCGAACGCUUUUUCUUUCACCGGAGCUUGCUCCGCCGAAAGAAAAAGAGUGGCGAACGGGUGAGUAACACGUGGGUAACCUGCCCAUCAGAAGGGGAUAACACUUGGAAACAGGUGCUAAUACCGUAUAACACUAUUUUCCGCAUGGAAGAAAGUUGAAAGGCGCUUUUGCGUCACUGAUGGAUGGACCCGCGGUGCAUAAGCUAGUUGGUGAGGUAACGGCUCACCAAGGCCACGAUGCAUAGCCGACCUGAGAGGGUGAUCGGCCACACUGGGACUGAGACACGGCCCAGACUCCUACGGGAGGCAGCAGUAGGGAAUCUUCGGCAAUGGACGAAAGUCUGACCGAGCAACGCCGCGUGAGUGAAGAAGGUUUUCGGAUCGUAAAACUCUGUUGUUAGAGAAGAACAAGGAUGAGAGUAAAACGUUCAUCCCUUGACGGUAUCUAACCAGAAAGCCACGGCUAACCACGUGCCAGCAGCCGCGGUAAUACGUAGGUGGCAAGCGUUGUCCGGAUUUAUUGGGCGUAAAGCGAGCGCAGGCGGUUUCUUAAGUCUGAUGUGAAAGCCCCCGGCUCAACCGGGGAGGGUCAUUGGAAACUGGGAGACUUGAGUGCAGAAGAGGAGAGUGGAAUUCCAUGUGUAGCGGUGAAAUGCGUAGGUAUAUGGAGGAACACCAGUGGCGAAGGCGGCUCUCUGGUCUGUAACUGACGCUGAGGC
rnacentral:rRNA from 1 species